rnacentral:rRNA from 1 species
AGUAGGGAUACCCGCUGAACUUAAGCAUAUCAUAAAGCGGAGGA